UUUGCUCCCUGAAUGGUUAGCGGCGGACGGGUGAGUAACACGUGGGCAACCUGCCUGUAAGACUGGGAUAACUUCGGGAAACCGGAGCUAAUACCGGAUAAUCCUUUUCCUCUCAUGAGGAAAAGCUGAAAGUCGGUUUCGGCUGACACUUACAGAUGGGCCCGCGGCGCAUUAGCUAGUUGGUGAGGUAACGGCUCACCAAGGCGACGAUGCGUAGCCGACCUGAGAGGGUGAUCGGCCACACUGGGACUGAGACACGGCCCAGACUCCUACGGGAGGCAGCAGUAGGGAAUCUUCCGCAAUGGACGAAAGUCUGACGGAGCAACGCCGCGUGAGCGAUGAAGGCCUUCGGGUCGUAAAGCUCUGUUGUUAGGGAAGAACAAGUAUCGGAGUAACUGCCGGUACCUUGACGGUACCUAACCAGAAAGCCACGGCUAACUACGUGCCAGCAGCCGCGGUAAUACGUAGGUGGCAAGCGUUGUCCGGAAUUAUUGGGCGUAAAGCGCGCGCAGGCGGUCCUUUAAGUCUGAUGUGAAAGCCCACGGCUC
rnacentral:rRNA from 1 species